rnacentral:rRNA from 1 species
UACGUAGGGUGCAAGCGUUAAUCGGAAUUACUGGGCGUAAAGCGUGCGCAGGCGGUCUUGCAAGACAGAUGUGAAAUCCCCGGGCUAAACCUGGGAACUGCAUUUGUGACUGCAAGGCUGGAGUGCGGCAGAGGGGGAUGGAAUUCCGCGUGUAGCAGUGAAAUGCGUAGAUAUGCGGAGGAACACCGAUGGCGAAGGCAAUCCCCUGGGCCUGAACUGAGGCUCAUGCACGAAAGCGUGGGGAGCAAACAGG